AACGUAGGAUCCGAGCGUUAUCCGAAUUCACUGGGCGUAAAGCGCGUGCAGGCGGACCGAUAAGUUGGAUGUGAAAUCUCCUGGCUCAACUGGGAGAGGUCGUUCAAGACUGUCGGACUAGAGGACGGUAGAGGGAGGUGGAAUUCCCGGUGUAGUGGUGAAAUGCGUAGAUAUCGGGAGGAACACCAGUGGCGAAAGCGGCCUUCUGGGCCGAUCCUGACGCUCAGACGCGAAAGCUAGGGGAGCAAACGGG
rnacentral:rRNA from 1 species